GAUAUCUUCGACGGGAGAACCGGCAGGGCCCUGGCCCCAGGCCGGUGCCGAAGGCGCAACCGCCCCGGAAUCGCUCAGGCCACAGGACCGCGAGGAGAUG
rnacentral:ncRNA from 1 species